GUUGGGUUGUUUUGCAGUGAUUGUAAUUUUUCCUCCAUGGCACCAUGAAAGCUCCUGGUAGUGCAACCUGGAUACCAGCAUCAGACAUGUAGGUUUUGAAUGCUUAUGGGUAUGUGAAUGGAGACCAUUGUACAUAAGGACAUGCAGUAGUGCCCAGGUACUCCUUGGCUAUAAAGAAACAUUUGUGCAGUGGCAGCUGAACCACGGAGAUGGUAGAAGCCUCCUGCUUUGGGCAGAGAAGUGCAGGAUGUCUGUCUGUCUCUUUGACUACUGACUGCAAGGACCUGAAGUGGGCAGAGCCUUCUCCAGCCCCACAAGCAGCAAUUACACAGUGCUUGGAACACCUGUACUGAAGAGAGAGAAAAUUUUCCUCAGUUUCUGUCUUUGUGUCUUCUUUUCACUAAUGGUGGAGAGGAUCCUCUUUGAAGCAGCAUCAGAUAUGAAAAAUAAUGUCAGCAUGAAAAACUAGUAUCGGCUUGUCCUUCUGGUUAAGAAUCAUGCAACAUCCAUAGACUCUUAUCAAGAGAGGAAUAAUAUGGUGCAAGAACUUAUGUCAGCAAGGAUAAAUAAUUUAAAGAAAAGGUGUGAACAUGGAAGGAAUAACCUGAUGACUUGAAGCAGUUUUGAUCUUGCAUGAAGGCAGAGCUGUAAUACAUAAUGUACAGUGAACCUGGGCUGGGUUCAUGGCAUAUUCCAGAGGAUAUUUUAGAAGGCAUUUUAUCUCACUACCUCUUGUUUGAUGAUUUGACCAAUAAUAUUUUCAACAGCUUCUGGGUGGUGAGGCUGCUUCUAUCUCUUCCUUUGUACCCUAUGUUAAAGACCCUGCCCCUUGCUUACAACUGGGGAGGCAGGAGAAAAAUACGUUAUAAGAAACCAUUGUGCAAAAAGCAUUAGGAAGAAGUAACAGGUUGUAACAGUAUGGAUCAUACUUUGGCAUAGCCAGAAACCUCGUUCAUCAUUAGGGAAUCACUGACCUUUCGUAGUGGUGAAUUCUCCCUGCAGGAGAUGGGCCUUCAUCUGUUGGUUAAAACUCAUGUUGUAACCUAAAAACUUUAACAUUAAAUAACUGAAAUACACUUACAGUACUGGAAUGACUGAAUCACAAACAAACAAAUGAGCAAAGAAAGACUCCAAAGCUUUCCAGAUGGCUGUUUCCCACUGAUGUACAUUUUUUUCUCCGGAGCUUCAAAACAUGUUUAAAUUAUGAAAUUUGGUGUGAUUACAAGAACUUGGCAAGCAGUCAUUAAGGUUUUAGUCUGAGGAGUGUUACUACAGAGUUAGAGAACUGCAGAUGAGCAAUGGCGGUGUCCUUGUGUGUGCACAGCAUUGUCAGCGUGGGUUGUAGGGAAUGGGACUAUGGCUCCCAGAGUCUGAGUUUUCCAUGUGCCACAAUCCUGCUGCUUCCCUGGGCCAAAUCCAUCCUUGAGUUGCUGAAACUGGUGAUAUUGUACCAGUAACUUAUUUGACUUUCUUUGCUCAAAACCGCUUGCUUACCAUCUCUUGCACUUCUUCUCCAGCCUUCUGCAAAGCCAGGUGACUUGCUACAUCUCCUCUGCUCCUGGCAGGGCUUGGAGAAGCAAUGCAGCCAGUGAGUACCUUGGCUUUGCUGCUGCAAAUCCCUUUGUGCUGCUGGGGCAGACGUACUGCUCCACAGGCAGAGCCCCUUCCUUUGUCUGGGCCAUCAGAAUGAUGGGGAAGGCUUGUGGUGGGCGGUCUGGAGUGGAAGACAGCAGUAAUAACAGGUGGUAGUAUGGAUAGUGAGGAGUGGAGAUUAAGAUAAAAGGAAACAAAUACUAUUUUUUUUACUAUGUUUUGAAUAUAUUCUGAGGCUGGAAAUGCUGAGUUUUCAGUUCAAGCAAUCUCGCACCCUCCAUUCAACCUGGGUUCAAGUUGUCAAGCUGGAAAAAGUAUUGCACUCCAAGCGCAGGGGAAGCACACCCCACUGGGGCAAUGCUGGGGAUGAAGAUUGGAGAUGUGCCUCUCAAGCAGAUUCAUACCUGAGAGAAGCUGGAAUCUUCCUUUGCAUCUCAGUUCCUCCUGGCUGCAAGCACAAGAGCCUCUCUCUAUCUCCUUCAGGCCCACCCACUGGCAGCUCUUUAGGGUUAGGGAAUAAAGUACUGGUACACAGCCCAAGGAGAAAGCCAG